UCCCUGGUAGCUCAGCUGGGAGAGAAUCUGCCUGCAGUGCAGGAGACCCAGGUUCAAUCCCUGAGUAGGGAA
rnacentral:tRNA from 1 species